UGAGUCGAGGUGACUGGUACAAGACA
rnacentral:piRNA from 1 species